GGGUUGUGAGGUUAAGCGACUAAGCGUACACGGUGGAUGCCCUGGCAGUCAGAGGCGAUGAAGGACGUGCUAAUCUGCGAUAAGCGCCGGUAAGGUGAUAUGAACCGUUAUAACCGGCGAUUUCCGAAUGGGGAAACCCAGUGUGACUCGUCACACUAUCAUUAACUGAAUCCAU
rnacentral:rRNA from 1 species